rnacentral:rRNA from 1 species
AUUGGUAGAGGAGGAGUGAUCGAGCCUGCGCUUAAGUGCGCGGGGAGGUUGUUCUUUUUCGUUACGCCGAUAAUUCUUUACACACACUGGAGUUUUAUUUCUACAGUAUCGGAGGUAGCAAUACCGCCAAAACAAAACACAAACAAUUAUUUUUUAUUAUUUUAAUUUGUCAUUUCAAAAUCUGCUUUAUUGCAGUAACCAAAAUAUUCAAAACUUUCAACAACGGAUCUCUUGGUUCUCGCAUCGAUGAAGAACGCAGCGAAAUGCGAUACGUAAUGUGAAUUGCAGAAUUCCGUGAAUCAUCGAAUCUUUGAACGCACAUUGCGCCCCUUGGUAUUCCAGGGGGGAUGCCUGUUUGAGCGUCAUUUCCUUCUCAAAUACUUGUAUUUGGUUGUGAGUGACACUCAGUCUUGCAUUGAGUUAACUUGAAAUUGUUGGGCGUAGCGGUUGUUGCAGCUUAUAGUUUUUGUGUAAUGGUAUGAUUUCUUUACUAUUAAACAGGAUGCUUGAGCAUGUCGUAUUAGGUUUUACCAACUCCGGGAGACUCGGUAUCUUGGAAGAGCGUACUGGGAUUAGAACAUUGAACUGUCGACUGUGGGAAACAGUACUCUUUAAGUUUGACCUCAAAUCAGGUAGGAAUACCCGCUGAACUUAAGCAUAUCAAUAGCCGGAGGAA